UCUCUGUACAAAAUGAGGCAGAAAUCAGUCCAGAAAUGACAAAGGGACCAAUUAAAGCUUGCAAUUUGCAUCAAUGAUAGAGUUGGGGCCAUCAAGUUUUGGCUCUUGUGCAGCUAUUUAGAAGAGAAAAUCAAUUUGCUGCUAAUGGCUGAUGAAUUCAGGAUACUGUUCUCCCAACAGCCACUACGUAUCUCAAUUAUAUUCUCAUGCAGGGGCGGAUUUACUCAAUAAAUUGGGGCAGAUCUACUCUAUAAAUUGGGGUUUACGUGAACCAAUGGUCUUCCCAGCAAAUCAGUUUUUCCAUGUACAUAGUUUACUGAAAUUGUUUAAUAUUAUCUUUGGGAACCAUGUUGUAUAAAGCUAAGUGGUGCACUGGCUGAAUGGUUAUUUUAUUUCCCCAAGGACGAUUCCCGAAUCCUCUGACUUUACUUUAAAGCCGGUGAUGCGGUCUGGUCUCAAAAUCCUGAAUCCACAUCUAAAUUAUAUUUGUUAAUUAAUUGCUAUGAUUGAACCCAAGAUUUUUGGUAUCA